rnacentral:rRNA from 1 species
UACGGGGGGGGCAAGCGUUGUUCGGAAUUAUUGGGCGUAAAGCGCGCGCAGGUGGGGUGAACAAGUCGGAAGUGAAAUCUUGAGGCUCAAACCUCGGAGGCUGCCUCCCGAAACUGUUCGCCUAGGGACUGGUAGAGGCUGGUAGAAUUCCCGGUGUAGCGGUGGAAUGCGUAGAGAUCGGGAAGAAUACCUGUGGCGAAGGCGGCCAGCUGGGCCAGCACUGACACUGAGGCACGAAAGCGUGGGGAGCAAACAGG